rnacentral:rRNA from 1 species
AUUGAACGCUGGCGGCAUGUCUUACACAUGCAAGUCGAACGGCAGCACGGGAGCAAUCCUGGUGGCGAGUGGCGAACGGGUGAGUAAAGUAUCGGAACGUGCCCAGUCGUGGGGGAUAACGUAGCGAAAGUUACGCUAAUACCGCAUACGAUCUAUGGAUGAAAGCGGGGGAUCGCAAGACCUCGCGCGAUUGGAGCGGCCGAUAUCAGAUGAGGUAGUUGGUGGGGUAAAGGCCCACCAAGCCGACGAUCUGUAGCUGGUCUGAGAGGACGACCAGCUACACUGGGACUGAGACACGGCCCAGACUCCUACGGGAGGCAGCAGUGGGGAAUUUUGGACAAUGGGCGAAAGCCUGAUCCAGCCAUGCCGCGUGCAGGAUGGAGGCCUUCGGGUUGUAAACUGCUUUUGUACGGAACGAAAAGGACUGCCCUAAUACGGUGGUCCCAUGACGGUACCGUAAGAAUAAGCACCGGCUAACUACGUGCCAGCCGCCGCAGUAA